GUGCGGUAGAGGUAGAAGGCAGUGGCAACAGUAGUAGUAGUAGUAGUAGUAGUAGUAGCAGUAGCAGUAGUAGUAGCAGUAAUAGCAGAGGAACAGCAGUACUAGUAUAAUAGUAAUAGUAGUUGUGGUGAUGGUGAUGGCGACGAAAUAGUAGCAGUAGUAGUAAAGAGGGGGCAGUGGACACCAGAGGAAACAAUAAUUACUCCUAGUGAGGUCUGAAGCACUGACAGGUUUGUACUGGAUCAGGAGGUGCUUUGAACUCUCCAGUGGCGCAGCUACGACUUGUGUCUCACAAAAUAACUCUAAAGAUAACUCAUCCUUCGCUCAGAAUUCUAAAUUUUAUUGUGACUCCUACAGCAGUGGUCCCUUUCCGUCUGGGAAGGGGACCACAAAUGUCACUAGGUCGGUCUGCUCUUCAUUUGGUAUCGACCCUAAGUGUCUUGACACCUCCAUCCCGCCCCCCCCUCAACUCUUCUUCAUGAACUUCUGCAACAUUCGCGGCCUUAAAUCUAAUUUUCAAUUAGUGAAACACCACCCCUCCUCUACUAAACCUCGUCUUUUUUUCCCACUGAAACGCAGAUGUCUGAAGCAAGUGACAGUAGUCUCUUCUCCGUUCCCUCUUAAUUUCUCUAUUUUCAUUUUCAGUCCAAAGUUGGAUGUUGUGUCUAUGUGCACAACGACUUAACUUGCUCUCGUGCCAACUCUCUUGAAUCUUCCGAAUUUUCUUCCAUCUGGCUACGACUACAGAGUCACUCUCGAGCUAAAUUUAUGUGCUGUAUACCUCUCACCUAACUCCUCUGACUAUAAAAAAUUCUUUCAGCUUCCAAAGUGGAACACAUUCUGACUCUUCCCUUUCGCGGAGAUCUCCAUUCUUUGAGACUUCAGUGUUCACCACCAGCUCUGGCUUUCCCUUCCUUUCUCUUUAAUUUUUCUGUACCUCACGACCUAGAGCAAUUAAUGCAACACCCUACUCGUAUUCCUGACAGUUGUCUUCUACUGCUAUUUUCAAGUUAACUGUUCUUCUGAUCUUGCUAACUGCUUGCCUCUCCUCCUCCCGCAGCCUCUCUUCACAAGACUUUCUACUUUCUCUCACUCCUGUCCAUCCCUCUCAUGCACGAAUUAACCAGUAUUUUCAAUUAUUCAUCCCUUUCUCUGGUAAACUCUGGAACUUCCUGCCUGCUUCUGCAUUUUCUCCUUCCUAUGACUUGAAGUCUUUAAAAAAUGAGGUUUCAAGACUCUUAUCCUUCAUUUUUUUUUUUUUGUUUGGAACAUCUUUGGGAACUGGUACUCAAGUCUGCCUUUUUUCUUUUCCUCAUUUUUUUUUGUUACCUUUGGCCAGUGGCCCUCUUACACACACACAAAAAAAAAAAAAAUACUAUAGUAGAAAUACCUCCCGAAUUUUUAACAUCUACCACUGUCAAAGGUGGAGGGUAGGUAUUUUCUUUAUUCGUGGAGUCAAAUAUCGCGCCAUAUUCAGUCACACCCCCUAUACGUUAACCUCCCACACUUCCCAAUUUUACUGACAUUCAACCCUUAUUUGGCGCUCUUAUCAACUACUGCGUCAUUUCUAGAUCUCUAUUAUUUUUUUUCUGUGUAGUUUUCUCCGAAAAUCAGUUGGGGUGAAGUAAUCUUAUAUUAUUAGUUCACUGAUUCCUCCUUUUCAUCAGGGUAGUCAGUCAGUAGCAAGUCACUUGUUGAAGUCAGUGCUGUCCCAGGUGCGCCACCCUCAGUGCUCCACCAGGUGCGCGGGGAGUUUGUGUUUACGUCUAGUCACGCUGUUAACUGGCCUUCAUUAGUGAUAUCUAAGGCUUCCUGGGGGAUUUCGACUGCUCAGGAAGACGGACUGGUGGUGAGCCACAUGGUGUAGCCAGCGCCUGCACAGUACACCAGCGGCGGAAGGAUGUGAUAAAAGGACUGAUGUGAAUUUUUAAGUGCCCAAUACCUGACACAUUACUGCACAAAGGGAGAAGAAUCUUGAAAAUACGAAAAAGAUGCUGAGAAAAGAUCGGUGUGAAUGACGAGUUUGGAAAUCUUUCAAACACGACAACAGCAGUGAGGGACGCAUGGGACUCAAAGACGUCAGGUGAUCCGAGACAUAAUGGAAAAGAUAGUUAGUAGGAAAGUUGUGUGUAGUUGGCAGGAAAGUUGAGCUCUUAUUGUCUUGUUAUGAAAAGAACAGAAGGAUCAGACAAUGUAUUAAACUUAAGAUACCAAAGUGAUGGAGUAAUGAAGUUCAAGAUAUCAUUUAACAUUCACGCAGCCUGGGAAACUCGAUAAAUUGAGAUACAUACAGUGUCUCCAUCAAACCUUCCUGUAAAACUUUGGAAACUCAAUUACAUCUAGUUCAUUAAAGCAGUUAUACCAGGUGA